rnacentral:rRNA from 1 species
UACAGAGGUCUCAAGCGUUGUUCGGAUUCAUUGGGCGUAAAGGGUGUGUAGGUGGCGCGCUAAGUCGGGUGUGAAAUUUCGGAGCUUGACUCCGAAACUGCAUUCGAUACUGGCGUGCUUGAGGACUGGAGAGGAGACUGGAAUUCAUGGUGUAGCAGUGAAAUGCGUAGAGAUCAUGAGGAAGACCAGUGGCGAAGGCGGGUCUCUGGACAGUUCCUGACACUGAGACACGAAGGCCAGGGGAGCAAACGGG